rnacentral:rRNA from 1 species
CCAAUAGCGUAUAUUAAAGUUGUUGCAGUUAAAAAGCUCGUAGUUGAAUUUCGGGAUUUAUCCGUCGGUCGGGCUUUUGGGUCUGUACUGGCGUGAUGAAUUCCUACCUUCUGAAUAACCGGCAUGUCAUUAAUUUGGUGCGCUGGGGAAGCAGGACUGUUACCUUGAAAAAAUUAGAGUGCUUAAAGCAGGCUAUUGCCUGAAUACAUUAGCAUGGAAUAAUGAAAUAGGACGGCAUGGUUCUAUUUUGUUGGUUUCUAGGAUCACCGUAAUGAUUAAUAGGGAUAGUUGGGGGCAUUAGUAUUCAAUUGUCAGAGGUGAAAUUCUUGGAUUUAUUGAAGACUAACUUCUGCGAAAGCAUUUGCCAAGGAUGUUUUCAUUAGUCAAGAACGAAAGUUAGGGGAUCGAAGACGAUCAGAUACCGUCGUAGUCUUAACCAUAAACUAUGCCGACUAGGGAUCGGACGAUGUUAAUUUUUUAAUGACUCGUUCGGCGCCUUACG